GCAGGGUUGUUGAAAUCAAAUUUAGGGACUUUACUGACGGGACUCUGGGCUGGCUGCUCUGUUCACUCGUCAGCGCAAGUGGCGUGACCAUGUAAUUGGGGCACGGGGCCGGCGCGGCGCGCUGCGGGCUUGCAGAAUUUUGUUUGUUUGUUUGGCCGCGCGCUGGCGCAGCCACGGGCCGCAGUUACUGGGGCGCGCUGUCGUAACAAGCCGCGCGGUGUGGCCUGCACAUUGGGGUAGAGGGGGGGGUAGUCUUCCCAGAUGUUCUAGUUAGUUGUUUAGUAAAUUUGACUUCAAUAACGAGCUUUUGUUAUGGUAGGCGCGGCAGGGCGCGCGAAUUUAAGCGCAAGUGAGUAGGAAUUCAGGCUCACUCAGGCGGAGGCUAUGCGUCUCACCUGUGGUCACGAGUUGUUAGUUCGUUCGUGAUGUAGGAAUUCAGGCUCACUCAGGCGGAGGCUAUGCGUCUCACCUGUGGUCACGAGUUGUUAGUUCGUUCGUGAUGUAGGAAUUCAAGCUUUCGGGCGGAAGCUAUGGUCGACGCCAGAGGCCACGAGUCGUUUAAUUUAAGUUAGGUCAUAAUGUAGUCGUCAAGCUUUCGGGCGGAGGCUAUGGCCCUCGUCAGGGGUCACGCGUCAUAGUUUUUAAAAUGUAAUGUUCGUUCGGGAUUUCAAGGGCAGGAGAGGCCCCUACGUUAUUUUUUUUAAAGUAAUCGAUCAAGAAAGGCUUUUCGGAAAAUGUGAGUAUGGACUUAUCUUUGUUUUAAUUUUAAGUAUUAAUUAUGAUUUGAGGUAUUCGGAAGGACUAGGGAAGUGUUUAGUGAAGUUCUCUCAUUCUCUCUCUUGUAAGGUCGUUCAAUCGUUAAGGAAGUAAAGAGAUUAUUGUUUUAAAUUGUAAUCCCGCUAUUUAAAUGUUCUUUAAAAUGAUGUUGAGUAUUUGACUUUAAGAAUAAAAUAAUUUUAAUUAAGUAUUAUGUUAUUUUGCAAAAUCUCCUUAGUUCAGCUCUCACCAGACAUCCUGUACGGGAUGACGAACCUAUGAUCCUAGGUACAGUAAAGUAUUUUAUGAAGUUAAGACUAGUUGAUGCCAAGCGAGUUGUUUCUAUGUAAAGAGCUACGAUUCUCUCCCCCCUCUGAAAGUGAGACGUGACAGAAAUGGCGGUGGCACCGGCUAGGUGCACGUGACAGAAAUGGUGGAGGCGCCGGGUAGGUUCUAUUUCUGGAGAGAGAGAGAGGUAGAUUUUUAUGUUUAUUAUUAAGUUAGUUUCAGCUUCUGAUAGCAGGUUAUUAAGAGUUUACUUGAGGAGAGGAUUACGGAAUUUUAGUCUAUAGUGGAGGAAGUCUUUGAGAUUUUUUUUUGACGUAACAGAUGUUUAUUUGAGGAUACUUGUAAGGAUAAAGUUUAUAGUGAUAAGUUGUUUUAAGUCGUUGAAUUUAUUGUAGAUUUAUAUCGGGGAUUAUUACGUGAGGAGAAUACGUUAUAAGUUAAAUGCUUAUUAGAGAUAAUGCAAGUGGUUUAAUUUAAUUGAAGUUCAUUUUAAGAUUGUAGGUUAAGAGAAUUAUAAUUUAAAAUAAAGUUUUUUGUCGUAAAUAGGAAUUAUUUUCAAGAGAAGUUUGUUUUGUUUUCGUGCGCGUAGGAGACGAGACGUACGAAUUAAAUCAGUCGAGGAAAGGAUAAACGUUAGAAAGGAAUUAAAGAGAAAACGAGAGUUUAUGUAAAAGAGAGUUAUAGAAUUUAUAGUGAUGUUUUGUUUUAAUUAGAAAAAUGUUGAGAGUUGUUUCAGAACGACACGUCAGUGGACGUGGCAGAGUGAACACGUGACGGGGAGGUGCUGAGACCUAGCGGAGAACGGAGGAACCGCAAGCGAGGGUUGGCGCACCUGAUGGAAUUCGGUGACGUCACGGGCUCAUACGGAGACGUGGACAGGCCGUGACCUUGUUUUGAUCAGCUGUACGGUAACUUAACGAUAAGAAAAUAGACUAUUGGUUAAAUAAAUUUAAAUUUAAGUGUGUUUUAGGAGAAGAGGAACUUUCAGUAUAUUCCUUAAGAUGAGCUGAGCAGCAGUCCAGUUUACAAGAUGACAAGAGUUCGAGAGACAAGAUACAAGAUCACUGAAACAAGAGCCAAGACUGAAGAUUCAAGAGAAGAGAAAGCUGGCAGCCAUGGACUUACAAGUGGAGAUUAAUAAGGUCAUGUAAAGUUUUAUUUUUUUUAUGGAAGACAGUAACUGGAGUUUUUUUUUGUUAUAAACAUUAUUUACAGAACUUUUUAGGUUAUAGUAAUGUAAUGGAACUAGUGAGUUGUGGUAGCUGUCAAAAAGAACUAAUACCUUAAGUUUAAUUUUUAAAGUUAAUUUUCUUAAUUUACAGAGGGAUUAGUAGUUUUUUUAAACCUUAUUUAGGUUGGAAUUUAAAUACAAUAGCUUAUUAUAAAUGUGUACGAACAGUUCAAGUUCACAGUACUGAUAGGUAGGUCAGAUGAUCUUAUUGAUUUUGAUGAUUUGUUGUUUUGAGUUGAUUUUUAAGUGUUGUGAAUUAGACAAUGAAAUAGUUCUGAAAACUUAAAUUAUUUCAAGCUAAGAAAUAGUAAAGUUAAUUGUAACUCAAAGGACACCAGAAUUUAAUUUUUUUUUGAAUUAGUAAUGUUUGAAAAUUUUAUACUUUACAAGAAAGGUUAUAAACAAACAGAUCGGAUGGAACAAGAAUGCAGUAAAUCACAAUUUCAUUUAGAAUUAUUGAUUAGCUUUUGAGGUUAUGAAGUAAAAGUAAUUAUAGUUUAAAAGUUUGAAAAAAAAAAAUGUUUUUUUUUAUUUGUUUGAAAUAGAAAGUUUAAAAGUUAAUUAGUCAUGAUCUAGGUGGGUGAUGGGGUGGGAAUUGGCCACUCUUUUUCCCUAUAACCUCCCUAACAUGGCCUUCUAUUACAACUAACAGAAAUAAAGAAGAAGAAAAAUGAAGAAUUAUUAGUUAGAAUGUUUCUUUCAUGAAGAUACCUGAUGAACUUUUACUGUUUGGAAGAAUAGAAGCAAGGUUAGUCAGAUAUUUUUACUCAGAAGAAGAAGAAGAUAAAGCAGUUUUAUGACUCGACAAGCCAGAGAUUGGUGUUUCCCCUCUGCGCUUCUAUUGACUACGUUGUUUACUCUCAUGGGAUAGCUGGUUCGGCACCAUGGAGAGAGAUUGGUGGGCAUUGUGGUUGCCCCCAGAAGAAAAGAAGAGUAGAAGAGGUUAUGGGUGGGUCAUGUGAACUGACCUUCAACCCAGGUACUUCGUGGGGACUAUUUGCUGUAUAGAGAAGAUCAAGACUCAAGAGUUAGGGAAAAUCAUUUGAGGUCAUGUUUCCCUUCCUUAAGUUUUUCCUAUCAAAUUAUUUGCCUGAUUAGAUUAUGCUAAGGGUGGGAUACUUUAUGUUAGCAGUUGAAUUAAUUAAUUUUAUUUUUUUUGUGUGUUUGCAUCCUUGCCCAUCGAUUGCAGUUUAGUAGUUAGUUUUGUAUUUGUCAGGCGUGAUGGUAAUGCCUGUUGAUGAUGUUUCAGAAUUGUAAUCUGUUCGUGAUGAGGAUGGCACAACUCCGAAGCAGAUGUGGGGAGAAGUUGUGAGCUGCCCUGGAAGCCAGUCCAGUAGCUGUUGGAGUUGAGUGGUGUUUGCUGAUGGCCAGCCCAGGGAGCUACUCUUCUCGACAACACUGACUUCGAGGAGUUGCACCAACCUUCACGAGAUAAGAGUUUAAUUAAUUGAAACACUGUAAGGACACUUAAUUUUUUUUGAAGAACGAAAGAAGUAUGGUAAUAAACGGAAACUGAAAAAAAAAAAAAAA